GACGAACGCUGGCGGCGUGCUUAACACAUGCAAGUCGAACGGAAAGGCUCCAGCUUGCUGGAGUACUCGAGUGGCGAACGGGUGAGUAACACGUGGGUAAUCUGCCCUGCACUCUGGGAUAAGCCUGGGAAACUGGGUCUAAUACUGGAUAUGACCUUUCUCCUUAUGGGGUUUGGUGGAAAGUUUUUCGGUGUAGGAUGAGCCCGCGGCCUAUCAGCUUGUUGGUGGGGUGAUGGCCUACCAAGGCGACGACGGGUAGCCGGCCUGAGAGGGUGAUCGGGCACAUUGGGACUGAGAUACGGCCCAGACUCCUACGGGAGGCAGCAGUGGGGAAUAUUGCACAAUGGGCGGAAGCCUGAUGCAGCGACGCCGCGUGAGGGAUGACGGCCUUCGGGUUGUAAACCUCUUUCAGCAGGGACGAAGCGUAAGUGACGGUACCUGCAGAAGAAGCACCGGCUAACUAUGUG
rnacentral:rRNA from 1 species